UGUAUUUAUUAGAUAAAAAACCAAUGCCCUUCGGGGCUUUUUGGUGAUUCAUGAUAACUUUACGGAUCGCAUAGCCUUGCGCUGGCGACGGUUCAUUCAAAUUUCUGCCCUAUCAACUUUCGAUGGUAAGGUAUUGGCUUACCAUGGUUUCAACGGGUAACGGGGAAUUAGGGUUCGAUUCCGGAGAGGGAGCCUGAGAAACGGCUACCACAUCCAAGGAAGGCAGCAGGCGCGCAAAUUACCCAAUCCCGACACGGGGAGGUAGUGACAAUAAAUACUGAUACAGGGCUCUUUUGGGUCUUGUAAUUGGAAUGAGUACAAUUUAAACCUCUUAACGAGGAACAAUUGGAGGGCAAGUCUGGUGCCAGCAGCCGCGGUAAUUCCAGCUCCAAUAGCGUAUAUUAAAG
rnacentral:rRNA from 1 species